GUCAGUUGUGUGCACCUCCCUAAGUGGGAACCCUUCACCGCUUGGUCAUGUGUGGGCUGAGCUGCUUUAUUUAAGGGUAUUGUAUGCUGGUCAAGGUCAAGGUCAAGGUAAGUCCAGUUACCAUAGGGAACAACUCAGAUUUCCAAAAGAUCUCAAUCAAGGCUUGCUUCUCUGUCUUCAUGUCUUUGUCUUCCCUGAGAGCCAUCUUCCCUCCACCAGAUUCCUGAGGCUUCCUGAGGGUAUGACUGUGUGUUCCCUCAGAGUGGGAUUCUCUGUCCUCUAACCCUGCCAGGGGGCCAUGGUGCUUGAUCCCUUGCUGGCCCCAGCCUCCCUUUCAGCUAGCUCCCUUCCUCUACCUGCCCUGCUUGGGGGUCCAGCUAUGUGGGCCUACACUUUGUUUUCAGAGUCCAGCCUUUACUUUCUCUGCACCCGCGUCUUUGCUUGUGCAGUUGCCCGCUCCCUCACCCCUAAGAAUGGCCACCUUCUAUGCUUUAGGACUUAUCUGAAAUACCCUUCCACCGUGACCCCUUC
rnacentral:lncRNA from 1 species